GCUGGAGUACAGAGCCAAAGCAACUAAACAUUUGUCAAAGUUCCAACACUUUUGGAGCUCACUGUAUGUGUGAGAGCUACAAGGAAAUGUUUUAACCCUGGACUCAUGUCCCCUCUCUGUAUCUCUCUUAGGGAGCCACGAUAAAGCGAAAUGGGAUAACAGGGGAGAUCUUUGUGGCACGGGUGAUCCAUGGUGGACUGGCGGACCGCAGCGGUCUGCUGCAUGCAGGGGACAGGAUCACAGAGGUGAAUGACUUCUUUGUAGAUGGCCUGGAGCCUGAGCAGGUCAUUGAGAUACUGGCCCGGUCUCAAGGCACCCUCAUGUUCAACGUGGUUCAACAACCAGAU